AUAUUGGACAAUGGGGGCAACUCUGAUCCAGCCAUGCCGUGUGUGUGAAGAAGGUCUUCGGAUUGUAAAGUACUGUAAGUUGGGAGGAAGGGCUUUAGGUUAAUACCCUGAAGUUUUUCCGUUACCAACUGAAUAAGCACCGGCUAACUCUGUGCCAGCAGCAGCGGUAAUACAGAGGGUGCAAGCGUUAAUCGGAAUUACUGGGCGUAAAGCGCGCGUAGGUGGUUCAGUAAGAUGUGUGUGAAAUCCCCGGGCUUAAACUGGGAACUGCUUUCAUAACUGCUGAGCUAGAGUACGGUAGAGGGUAGUGGAAUUUCCUGUGUAGCGGCGAAAUGCGUAGAUAUAGGAAGGAACACCAGUGGCGAAGGCGACUACCUGGACUGAUACUGACACUGAGGUGCGAAAGCGUGGGGAGCAAACA
rnacentral:rRNA from 1 species